GUUGAACGCUGGCGGCGUGCUUAACACAUGCAAGUCGAUCGGUAACGCGGGGGCAACCCUGGCGACGAGAGGCGGACGGGUGAGGAACGCUUGGGAAUCUGCCUAUCAGCGGGGGACAACACGGGGAAACUCGUGCUAAUACCGCAUACGCUCUACGGAGGAAAGCCGGGGACCGCAAGGCCUGGCACUGAUAGAUGAGCCCAAGCCGGAUUAGCUAGUUGGCGGGGUAACGGCCCACCAAGGCGACGAUCCGUAGCUGGUCUGAGAGGACGAUCAGCCACACUGGGACUGAGACACGGCCCAGACUCCUACGGGAGGCAGCAGUGGGGAAUAUUGGACAAUGGGGGAAACCCUGAUCCAGCGACGCCGCGUGGGUGAAGAAGGCCUGCGGGUUGUAAAGCCCUUUCGGUAGGGACGAAAGCUCUCGACCUAACACGUCGGGAGGUUGACUUAACCUACAAAAGAAGCACCGGCUAACUCUGUGCCAGCCGCCGCCGUAACAC
rnacentral:rRNA from 1 species